GAUUCCUGACAGCCCGGGCUAACCUGGUCACCUCACCUGCAGGCAGAAAUCCCGACUUGAACCUGGAAGCCCUGAAGAAAUUCCUGCCACACAGGGAUUGCCACAGAACAGCUUCAUGCCUGUCCAGUUGGGGCAUCUUCUCACUCCUGAAUUCUCCUUGGUUUCUACAGAAAGCUGCAUUCCUGAAGGUGAUUAGGGUAAGGGGCACCAGAGCUCCACAGCAGCCCCAGGGCGGCACCACCAGAACCCUCUUUCCUGCAGGACAUGGACAGAGCUCCUGCCUCUGGGGCCUGGGCUGCUCUCCCCUCCUGCCACCCCCACUGCCCUUCCUCUCCCAGCCCUGGAUCGACUUUCCUGG